rnacentral:rRNA from 1 species
GUUAAUCGGAAUUACUGGGCGUAAAGCGCACGCAGGCGGUCUGUCAAGUCGGAUGUGAAAUACCCGGGCUCAACCUGGGAACUGCAUUCGAAACUGGCAGGCUAGAGUCUUGUAGAGGGGGGUAGAAUUCCAGGUGUAGCGGUGAAAUGCGUAGAGAUCUGGAGGAAUACCGGUGGCGAAGGCGGCCCCCUGGACAAAGACUGACGCUCAGGUGCGAAAGCGUGGGGAGCAAACAGGAUUAGAUACCCUGGUAGUCCACGCCGUAAACGAUGUCGAUUUGGAGGUUGUGCCCUUGAGGCGUGGCUUCCGGAGCUAACGCGUUAAAUCGACCGCCUGGGGAGUACGGCCGCAAGGUUAAAACUCAAAUGAAUUGACGGGGGCCCGCACAAGCGGUGGAGCAUGUGGUUUAAUUCGAUGCAACGCGAAGAACCUUACCUGGUCUUGACAUCCACAGAACUUAGCAGAGAUGCUUUGGUGCCUUCGGGAACUGUGAGACAGGUGCUGCAUGGCUGUCGUCAGCUCGUGUUGUGAAAUGUUGGGUUAAGUCCCGCAACGAGCGCAACCCUUAUCCUUUGUUGCCAGCGGUCCGGCCGGGAACUCAAAGGAG